GAUCCAUCUACUUUGUGCAUAGAGCGGUGCUUACAAUUGCUUAUCGACCUUUGCAUGUAGAAAAGCUCUUCCAUUGCUAAACGAGGAAAGAAGUAAACACAUGUGGUUGUUAUUGUAGAAUUCCACGGAUGUAUCCUAUAUUAAAUUACAGAUCUUUUUUUGUAGGAUUUGACCCUGAAAAGAACCUUUCGUUGGAAUUGGUUGUCUCGGAAAUAAACUUCUGCCUAUAUGAAUUCAGAUCGCCCUGGUUUGAAGUACUACCGAAAGCCUUCUGGCUGCGCGCUCUAAGAUUACAUGGGUAGAGCACAAUGAGAUACUAAUUGAAGGAUUCUCAUGUGUGCGAUUUAAAGAACUAGUAGCAUCUGGUUUUGCGUUUCACGUUGGUUAGUGGAUGACGAUGUUAAAGCACCAAACUGAGAGUGAACACAUAAUCAAGCAACACAUUAACGGUUCGAUUCUGGAUGUUGAUUGGCAGACGAAUCGCACGUUUGCCUCGGGCUCAAUUGAUAUGAUGAUAUAUGUUUGCAAGAUCGGGGAAAAUCAUUCAGUCAGAAUAUUUCCGGGACAUAAGUAAGUAGGCACGAGUUGCAGCAAGGCACAAGGCUCUGUGACUGCUUGAGGCGAUGGGUGUAUAGGCGUCAAAAACGGCUGGAGGCACAGGCAUGAGACACGCUCUUGUACAUGGGAAGAUUUUGUGCAUCAUGGUGUCGUACAUAUAACAUUUUGGGCUGUACGUAUAAGUCGUUUAUAUAUGAAUUCAUAUAUAGAUAGUUCUUGGGCA